rnacentral:rRNA from 1 species
UACGUAGGGUCCGAGCGUUGUCCGGAAUUAUUGGGCGUAAAGGGCUCGUAGGCGGUCUGUUGCGUCGGGAGUGAAAACUUACAGCUUAACUGUGAGCGUGCUUCCGAUACGGGCAGACUUGAGGUAUUCAGGGGAGAACGGAAUUCCUGGUGUAGCGGUGAAAUGACGCAGAUAUCAGGAGGAACACCGGUGGCGAAGGCGGGUCUCUGGGCCGAUACUGACGCUGAGGAGCGAAAGCGUGGGGAGCGAACAAG